rnacentral:tRNA from 1 species
GCCCUUGUAGCUCAGUUGGCUAGAGCACGCGUCUUGUAAACGCGAGGUCGUCGGUUCGAUUCCGACCGGGGGCUCCA